rnacentral:misc_RNA from 1 species
UGCAAAGUGACAAUGCUUAUUAUUAGAGAAGAUAAGUUGGAAUUCAAUACAUCAACUGCGUUAAGCUACUAAUUUAGAACCUAAAUUUCAGCCUCAUAUGUAUUUAUCAAGAAAUAAAUCGAUUUGGGCAUACCAGAAUAUUUCAAGUGAAUUAGUUUAUGCUUCUAAUUCAGCACCGAAUUUAUUCAACUUUUUUCUUCACUGGAAGUGAUAUCUGCUACUAAUUUCCCUGCCAUAAAUUGCAUAACAAGAACCGCACAAACAAUAUUAAAAAUCUAAAAUAAUCCUCAAGUUUCACUUGAAAAACUCCACAUUCGCCAUCCCAGUGAUUAAAGAACAACGCUAGGUUACUAGUUUACCAUCGCCAAAAAAGUCUCACUUGUUGAGUGGGCCAGGGGGGGCGCCGAGGAGGCUCUGUUGCUGCAACUCGAGCUCAUUGAACGGCUGCUCGCGGUCCAUCUCGAUGAUUAGUGGUACCACCAGGAUGAGAAAAGUGGUCCCAGCGAUCCACGCCGCCUUUCCCGUGCUCUUAGCCAGCCUCUUAGCCACGUAGGCCGUGUCGUUCGCCGCAUUUUUCGCUGUAUUCACGAUCGCUGACUCCGAUACAGUGCGCGUCACUCUAGCAACGAUCCCUUCGUCGCCGCUGCUGUUACCGAUACCAAGUCGUUUCUUUCCCAGAGACGCCAUUUAAAGGGUUUUGGUUCAGUCUAUGAGGACUUUUGCUCGCAAGAGAAAUAGCACCCUUUU